CCGCCGCGCUGGCCGGGGUGGAGGCCGCGCGGCUGCUGCUCGCGCCCGCGCUGACGUUCGUCAACGGCGCGGGGUGGU
rnacentral:tRNA from 1 species